rnacentral:rRNA from 1 species
AACGAACGCUGGCGGCAGGCUUAACACAUGCAAGUCGAGCGCCCCGCAAGGGGAGCGGCAGACGGGUGAGUAACGCGUGGGAAUCUACCCAACCCUACGGAAUAACGCAUGGAAACGUGUGCUAAUACCGUAUACGCCAUACGGGGGAAAGAUUUAUCGGGGAUGGAUGAGCCCGCGUUGGAUUAGCUAGUUGGUGGGGUAAAGGCCUACCAAGGCGACGAUCCAUAGCUGGUCUGAGAGGAUGAUCAGCCACAUUGGGACUGAGACACGGCCCAAACUCCUACGGGAGGCAGCAGUGGGGAAUAUUGGACAAUGGGCGCAAGCCUGAUCCAGCCAUGCCGCGUGAGUGAUGAAGGCCCUAGGGUUGUAAAGCUCUUUCACCGAUGAAGAUAAUGACGGUAGUCGGAGAAGAAGCCCCGGCUAACUUCGUGCCAGCAGCCGCUGUAAUAC